GAAAUGCGAUAAGUAAUGUGAAUUGCAGAAUUCAGUGAAUCAUCGAAUCUUUGAACGCACCUUGCGCUCCUUGGUAUUCCUUGGAGCAUGCCUGUUUGAGUAUCAUGAAAUCUUCAAAGUAAAUCUUUUGUUAAUUCAAUUGGUUUCUACUUUGGUAUUGGAGGUCUUUGCAGCUUCACACCUGCUCCUCUUUGUUCAUUAGCUGGAUCUCAGUGUUAUGCUUGGUUCCACUCGGCGUGAUAAGUUAUCUAUCGCUGAGGACACUGUAAAAGGUGGCCAAGGUAAAUGCAGAUGAACCGCUUCUAAUAGUCCAUUGACUUGGACAAUACUUUUAUGAUCUGAUCUCAAAUCAGGUAUGACUACCCGCUGAACUUAAGC
rnacentral:misc_RNA from 1 species